AUGGCUCAUUAAAACAGUUAUAGUUUAUUUGGUAAUCGAAUUUACAUGGAUAACCGUGGUAAUUCUAGAGCUAAUACAUGCUGUAAAGCCCGACUUCACGGAAGGGCCGUAUUUAUUAGAUAACAGACCAAUAUUCCUCGUGUCUAUUGUGGUGAAUCAUAGUAACUAAUCGGAUCGCAUGGGCUAGUCCCGCGACAAACCAUUCAAGUUUCUGCCCCAUCAGCUUUCGAUGGUAGUGUAUUGGACUACCAUGGCUUUUACGGGUAACGGAGGAUUAGGGUUCGAUUCCGGAGAGGGAGCCUGAGAAACGGCUACCACAUCUAAGGAAGGCAGCAGGCGCGUAAAUUACCCAAUCCUAAUUCAGGGAGGUAGUGACAAGAAAUAACGGGUCGGGGCAAUGCCCCGGGACUGCAAUGAGAUGAAUUUACACCCCUUUUCGAGUAACAAUUGGAGGG
rnacentral:rRNA from 1 species